rnacentral:rRNA from 1 species
UACGGAGGAUGCGAGCGUUAUCCGGAUUUAUUGGGUUUAAAGGGUGCGUAGGCGGGCUUUUAAGUCAGCGGUAAAAAUUCGGGGCUCAACCCCGUCCGGCCGUUGAAACUGGGGGCCUUGAGUGGGCGAGAAGAAGGCGGAAUGCGUGGCGUAGCGGUGAAAUGCAUAGAUAUCACGCAGAACCCCGAUUGCGAAGGCAGCCUUCCGGCGCCCUACUGACGCUGAGGCACGAAAGUGCGGGGAUCGAACAGG